UGGCAUACGCGACUGCGAAUCCUGCGAAUGUAUGUGCUACCAUUUGAAUUUUACGCGAGUGACUGCGACUUGCGUGCGGGACUGCGAACUGUACGGCCAACCGUGCAAUACAAAAGCUUUACAAUAGCAGUACACGAGCUGUACAAUAUGCAAAGUGCACCGCCGUUGCACAUGACCUGCAGGUUCACAGCUGUGAACCACAGCACUCACUGCUUUCUUCAUACAUUUGAACUAUCCCUGAAUGACAGGUACGAAUUCAUAGCAAAUCCUAACAUGACCGAUGCAACUCAGCCAGCAACUCUUACCAUGGAAAAGGGUCCAACAGUCUAACGUCAGAAAAAAUGGACACACAAAUGUUAAGCGCAUGUAAAUGUACCACAAUACAGCCACUAUUGUCUUCUUAUUAAAGCGCUCAAUCCUCGCCUCCGCUGAUGUCAUCUUCACGAACGACGGCAUAUAUCUGCAUAUCAAAGGAUCACAACAAAUCAUUGUUUAGGCAGGAAAACAUAGUUGUGAGCAUGUUACGUACAAUGACGGCUGUAGGUGUAACACCGGCGUAACGUGCCACGAAAUAAGGCAAUAAAAAGCAUUUAGUUAAUAGCCAUGGUCUUGCAACCAGAGGCUUCAUACCUCCGAACGGCCGCUUCGUGGCCUGCCACGUCCCGUUUGAGCCCGACUCUUGUUCAUAUCCUUACCACCAUCCUUGCGCUUGUCCUAUUCCUUGCGAUUCUCCUGCUCGUGUCCUUGGAAUGUAAAAUGACAAGGCAUAAUGUCAGUGUAUGCACCUGCAUGAUGGCCACUUACUGCCGGUGGCGUCUAGUCCCCCUUUUCCUGCUUUCCCCUGCUUGCCUGCGAAUGAAUGCUGCGCCAUUAUAAAGACAGAUUCUUGUUAAGCAGCCCCUCGCACAAAUGUGUCCGGUCGUACUUCGCGAAUAAAAGGUCCGUACAUCACGCCCCAAAAGCCAGGAGCGAAUUUCACCGCGCGGGUGCGCGCGUGCGAUUCGCAAAAUGCGCGUGUACAAGUGUAUAUAAAUUUUCUUAGAAGAAAGGCCGCGGUGCGUCAGCGCGGUGCGCAGGAAGGCAUGCUGGCCACAGGCGCACGCGGCAUGCAGGCUGGACUAUUGCAUGGCUGCUUUGCAGUAACUGAAAGCACCGAAAGCCUACGUCGUAGCUUGCAAGACUGGGCUCGUGAAACUGCCGCGGGAAGAGGAAGCGUCUGGCGAAGAGGCAGUUGUAUGCAGCACCUUGUUCAGAGUAAAGUCAAAUUACAAAGUUGCGCAAAGUAUAACAUACAUCAACUUAAUUAAACAUAAGAACAGAUAAGACGUGUAGAGCCUUGUCGGUGACAUGGACGCCGCUGUUGGCUUGGAACAGCUAUUUGCUGUGCAUAGGGACGUGCCCGCGUUAGCCGUGUUGCAACAGCUCAGGAUGGAUUUCAGCCAACAAAGCCUCANNNNNNNNNNNNNNNNNNNNNNNNNNNNNNNNNNNNNNNNNNNNNNNNNNCGCGAGCGU
rnacentral:lncRNA from 1 species